GGUCCGCCCGGCCCCUAGCGCCUGCGCGGCGGCGGGCCGCGGUUCCCGGCCGGGCGGGUUUGCAGGCGGACGGGCCGGGCGCCAUGGCGGGGGAACCCGCCUUCGUGCUGCGCUACCUGGCCGAGGUGGAGGAGCUGGCGGAGGAGGUGCUGGCGGGACGGCGGCAGAUUGUGGACUUGGAUCUAAAGCGGAAUCAGAACCGAGAAGCCCUCAGGGCUUUGCAUAAGGACUCAGACCCUUCUGAUAAAGCAAUGGUUUGCUUUGGAAACAUGUUUAUUCAGCUUCCAAAAUCAAAGACUAAGGAAAUGAUUCAGAAAGAUCAGGAGCACUUGGAUGAGGAAAUAAACCAACUUCGGAAAGAGCUGAGAGUGAAGGUCAACCGUCUCUUUGAAGCUCAAGGUAAACCUGAGCUGAAAGGAUUUAACUUGAACUCCAUGACCCAUGAGGAAAUGAGAGUAAUCAAUCAGAUACUGGAAGGACGAAACUAGACCUUCAUCGUAGAGACUUCAGUGUUGCUGAUAAGGAACUAAAUCCCUUCAUUAUAACAGUCCUCUUAAUGUAACCAGCAUCGGGGAGCCACUCUCAGUGCCUUCAUAAAAUACAAUGGGAAAAUCCUAAGGAACCAAGAAAUGGCCAGCAGCCGUAUGCUGAGGCAGCGAAACUGUCCAGAGACCAAUGAGAAUGGCAGCUCUACAAUAUGAGGAAGAGGGAGUGAAAGAGCUCAAUCCUCAGUGACUUCUCUUGCCUCAUGCUCUGGAUCAGCAUUAAACUUUCUGCUGGGUAUGAAGAGGUUUGAAGAGCUGCUUCAGCUGUUUUUUCCUGUCAUUGUUGUAGCCUGAAAUGAAAGCAUUAACAAAGUGACAUAUGACUUAGUCCCCCGAAAGGGUGAAGAGUAGAGAUAAUUGCCUGCUUUCAGACAAAGCCGUGCUCCAAUCAGUUAGCAUGAAGCUACAGCCAGAGAAAAUACUGAAGGCAUAUUUAACUACUUAGUGAUAUGUGAAAACCUGUAAUAGGUUCUUUCUGCCUGAUUGAACUGGGCAUUACUAUGGGCUAUUAAACAAGAA